rnacentral:misc_RNA from 1 species
GAUAUCUCUCAUCUCUAAAAUAUUUUCAUUCUCUUCUCAUCUAUUUUUUCUCCUCUUUUCUCAUAUAUUUCUAUUUUCUUUUCUCUCAGUCUAUUUCUAUCUCUGUCUCUCUCUAUUCCUCUAUUUUAGUAAUGUGCAGGUCAGAUAUGUAACGACUCCCCACUUAUGAUAACAAUUAACAAACAUGUUGGAAUUUAUUUUGGAAGCUACCUCUCAAGUAUUACCAGUUUACCUUGAAAUUAUUGAUU